rnacentral:rRNA from 1 species
AUGGUGGAACGCGGACUCAACGCCAACCACAUGAUGAUCGCGGAGUUCACCAACAACCACAAGCUGGAUGCCAAGAACAUUGGGGAGACCAUCUUCAAGCUUCACAAGAAGAUCAAGCACCUCCAAGCCCAGAUCCAUGACCUACAAAGCCAAAACUGUGAGUAUGAAUAUAGAUUCAAGAGGAUGAGUUUGGCUGCAGAUUUGAGGAUCCCGGAGACUCGAUCAUCCUUCUAUGUUGGUGAGCCUAUGCCUUGGAAGAUGGACGACAAGCCUACAUCAUCAAAACCUCCAUCAUCACCACCACCGAAGAAAGAGACAUAA